AAGGCCUUCGGGUCGUAAAGCUCUGUCCUCAAGGAAGAAAUGACGGUACUUGAGGAGGAAGCCCCGGCUAACUACUUGCCACCAGCCGCGGUAAUACGUAGGGGGCUAGCGUUAUCCGGAAUUAUUGGGCGUAAAGGGUGCGUAGGUGGUUUCUUAAGUCAUAGGUGAAAAGCUACGGCUCAACCGUAGUAAGCCUUUGAAACUGGGAAACUUGAUUGCAGGAAAAGAAAGUGGAAUUCCUAGUGUAGCGGUGAAAUGCGUAAAUAUUAGGAAGAACAACAAUUGCCAAGGCGGCUUUCUGGACUGUAACUGACACUGAAGCACGAAAGCGUGGGGAGCAAACAGGAUUAAAUACCCUGGUAAUCCACCCCGUAAACGAUGAGUACUAGCUGUCGGAGGUU
rnacentral:rRNA from 1 species